rnacentral:tRNA from 1 species
GUCAAGGUGGUGCAGUUGGUUAUAACUCCUAAGUCACACGUAAGAGGUCCUCUGUUCGAACCAGGGCGCGGUCA